GACGAACGCUGGCGGCGUGCUUAACACAUGCAAGUCGAACGGAAAGGCCCUGCUUUUGUGGGGUGCUCGAGUGGCGAACGGGUGAGUAAAACGUGAGUAACCUGCCCUUGACUUUGGGGUAACUUCAGGAAACUGCGUCUAAUACCGGAUAGGAUCUCCUGCUGCAUGGUGUGGGUUGGAAAGUUUCGGCGGUUGGGGCUGGACUCGCGGCUUAUCAGCUUGUUGGUGGGGUAGUGGCUGACCAAGGCUUUGACGGGUAGCCGGCCUGAGAGGGUGACCGGCCACAUUGGGACUAAGAUACGGACCAGACGCCUACGGGAGGCAGCAGUGGGGAAUAUUGCACAAUGGGCGGAAGCGUGAUGUAGCAACGCCGCGUGCGGGAUGACGGCUUUCGGGUUGUAAACCGAUGUCGCAUGUGACGAAGCGUGAGUGACGGUAAUGGGUAAAGAAGCACCGGCUAACUACGUG
rnacentral:rRNA from 1 species